AUUACUUUGCUAGUGUGUGAGAUGAGUGCAAUUGUGCAUAGUUUGAGCAUUCUUUGACAUUGCCCUUCUUUGGGAUUGGAAUGAAGCUGAUCUUCUCCAGUCUUGUGGUCACUACUGAGAUUUCCAAACUUGCUGGCAUAUUCGGUGUAGCACUUUCACAGCAUCAUCUUUUAGGAUUUGCAACAGUUCAACUGGAACUCCAUCACAUCCACUAGCUUUGUUCGUAGUGAUGCUUCCUAAGGCACUCUUGAUUUCAUACUCGAGGAUGUCUGACUGUAGAUGAACGAUGACACCAUCAUGGUUAUCUGGUCAUUAAGGCCUUUAUUGUACAGUUCUGUGUAUUCU